rnacentral:rRNA from 1 species
UCCUACGGGAGGCAGCAGUGAGGAAUAUUGGUCAAUGGCCGGAAGGCUGAACCAGCCAAACCGCGUGAAGGACGAAGGUGCCAAGCAUUGUAAACUUCUUUUGUCAAGGGACAAAAUCAGGCUCGAGAGCCUGACCGAGGGUACUUGAAGAAAAAGCAUCGGCUAACUCCGUGCCAGCAGCCGCGGUAAUACGGAGGAUGCGAGCGUUAUCCGGAUUUAUUGGGUUUAAAGGGUGCGUAGGCGGACUGUUAAGUCAGCGGUAAAAGCCCGGGGCUCAACCCCGACGAGCCGUUGAAACUGGCUGU